rnacentral:rRNA from 1 species
GCUGGCGGCGUGCCUAAUACAUGCAAGUAGAACGCUGAGGUUUGGUGUUUACACUACACUGAUGAGUUGCGAACGGGUGAGUAACGCGUAGGUAACCUGCCUCAUAGCGGGGGAUAACUAUUGGAAACGAUAGCUAAUACCGCAUAAGAGUAAUUAACACAUGUUAGUUAUUUAAAAGGAGCAAUUGCUUCACUGUGAGAUGGACCUGCGUUGUAUUAGCUAGUUGGUGAGGUAAAGGCUCACCAAGGCGACGAUACAUAGCCGACCUGAGAGGGUGAUCGGCCACACUGGGACUGAGACACGGCCCAGACUCCUACGGGAGGCAGCAGUAGGGAAUCUUCGGCAAUGGACGGAAGUCUGACCGAGCAACGCCGCGUGAGUGAAGAAGGUUUUCGGAUCGUAAAGCUCUGUUGUUAGAGAAGAACGUUGGUAGGAGUGGAAAAUCUACCAAGUGACGGUAACUAACCAGAAAGGGACGGCUAACUACGUGCCAGCCGCCGCGGUAAU